rnacentral:rRNA from 1 species
AUUGAACGCUGGCGGCAGGCCUAACACAUGCAAGUCGAACGAGUGGCGGACGGGUGAGUAAUGUCUGGGAAACUGCCUGAUGGAGGGGGAUAACUACUGGAAACGGUAGCUAAUACCACAUACAAUCGGUUUUGCCCAGAGGGGAUUAGCUGGUAGGUGGGUAAAAGGCUCACUUGGGCGACGACCCCUGGCUGGUCUGAGAGGAUGACCAGCAACACUGGAACUGAGACACGGUCCAGACUCCUACGGGAGGCAGCAGUGGGGAAUAUUGCACAAUGGGCGCAAGCCUAAUGCAGCCAUGCCGCGUGUAUGAAGAAGGCCUUCGGGUUGUAAAGUACUUUCAGCGGGGAGGCGUUACCCGCAGAAGAAGCACCGGCUAACUCCGUGCCAGCAGCCGCGGUAAUAC